GCUAAUACCGCAUACGCCCUACGGGGGAAAGAUUUAUUGCUCUAUGAUGAGCCCGCGUUAGAUUAGGUAGUUGGUGGGGUAAUGGCCUACCAAGCCUACGAUCUAUAGCUGGUCUGAGAGGAUGAUCAGCCACACUGGGACUGAGACACGGCCCAGACUCCUACGGGAGGCAGCAGUGGGGAAUAUUGGACAAUGGGCGAAAGCCUGAUCCAGCCAUGCCGCGUGAGUGAAGAAGGCCUUAGGGUUGUAAAACUCUUUCAACUGUGAGGAUGAUGACAGUAGCAGUAGAAGAAGCACCGGCUAACUUCGUGCCAGCAGCCGCGGUAAUACGAAGGGUGCGAGCGUUGUUCGGAAUUACUGGGCGUAAAGGGCGUGUAGGCGGAUUGCAAAGAUAGAGGUGAAAGGCCUGGGCUCAACCUGGGAACUGCCUUUAUAACUUGCAGUCUAGAGAUCGAGAGAGGAUAGCGGAAUUCCUAGUGUAGAGGUGAAAUUCGUAGAUAU
rnacentral:rRNA from 1 species